UACGUAGGGUGCAAGCGUUGCCCGGAAUUACUGGGCGUAAAGGGCGCGUAGGUGGUUAGUUAAGAUUGAUGUGAAAUCCCUGGGCUUAACCUAGGAAUGGCAUCGAUGACUGGCUAGCUGGAGUACUGUAGAGGGUAGUGGAAUUUCCGGUGUAGCGGUGAAAUGCGUAGAUAUCGUGAGGAACACCAGAGGCGAAGGCGGCUACCUGGACAAUUGCUGACGCUCAGGCACGAAAGCGUGGGGAGCAAAAGGG
rnacentral:rRNA from 1 species